AGGGAAACUCAAUUAAAAUAGAAUUAAAAUGGAAGGGACAAAUUAUAAAUGUAAUAAACUGUUAAAAAAUAAAAAAAGGACCAGCGUACAACAUGUGCAAAUGCGCAGGGACCGAAUCUGGAAAUAAUCCAGACCCCAAAACGCAGCGCUGAAGCACGGACCAAAGUGCAAAUACGCGCAAGUUACAGGGAUAAUCUAAAAAAAAACAAAGAAAUACAAAUGUAAGCUGAUUGAGAAGCAGUGCAAAAGGGGGAGGGCCAAUCUUGAAAUAACCCUUCACCGCAAAAACACGCGGGUCCUGAGGGUAUUCGGGAACGGAUCGGGUCAGGGCUCCCACCAAACGAUGUCGUUUUUGAACCAUUUAGAUUGGUUGAAACGGUGCCGUUUUUGUUUCCUUAAAAAGGCCAAAUCAUGCCUUCAUUCAGCCGAAUCUCUUAUGCAACCCUAGCCUUUUCUUUUUCCCCCUUAGCCGAACCCUAAGUCCCCUUCUCAAGCAUCAAACCGCCAUCAAGAACGGCGCCUCGUGCUUCUGGCUUCGACUUGUCGCUCUUUGGCCUCAAAAUCCCCCCUUUAGCUUCGAUUUUGACGAAGCAAGAGAGGAUCAAUAGCGGAUUCGCAAGGUAAGGUCUCGUUUUCCCUUUUCUUUUGUUUUUAAAUGCAAAAACUGAGAAAGUAAAAAACGAAGGAAGCAGAUAAAGAAAAAACGCAAUAGAUCCAGAAACUCAAAACGGAAAUCACCUUUCUUUGCUUUUUUCUAUUUUAUCGUUUCGUAUGCGUAGUGUGUCUAUAUUUCGUAACCCCUUACAAAGAUUAAAAAUCUUGGCUUUAUAGCCGAAAAGAAAGAAAGAAAAAAAAUAGAUAAAAAAUACAAUAUUUGUUCUUUGUUUUGCUGUGCGUUCGUCCUUUUUGCAGGUAUAGGUGUGCGUGGCGCGAGUACGGGGCUGUGCUGGCGUACGGAGGCGCGGGCGUAGCUGCUGAAGCGCUGGAGCGUACGGAGGCGUUGUCUGGUUGCGGCGCAAGCAUUAGGCUAGGGUUUGCCCUGGCUGAGAUUUGGUUUAGGCAUUGGGCCUAUUGGGCCAUCAGGGUUUUGGGUUAGGGAUUUGGAAUUGGGCUAGUUAUUUUUUUGGGUUUUGUUAUGUAAUUGGACAUUUAAUGGACUAUUUUGGUUUUUUUGUUUCUUUAUUUGGUCUUGAUGUGAACCCGGGCAAAUUGGCCUGCUUACAACGUCUACGUUGUAUUUGGGGUCUUACAUUUGACCAUUCCAAACUAUACACAAUUUUAACUUCGUCAUUUAAUGUAAUUGCAUUUACCACCCUCGAAACUUUUGACAUGGGGUUAUAUUUUACGACAAAUAUAAUAUUCUUCUUGUUUUGGUCAUUAUUAUAUUGUUUCUUAAUACAACAAAUUAUCUUUUAAAUUUAUAUUCGAAUUAAUAUGAUAGAUACCAAUAUUAAUGCUUUCCUUAGAAUGAAAAGAAUGUGGAUUUCUUCCUAAUAACACAUUAUGUAUAACAAAUAAUGCCUUACCAAUAUAUAUUUCUUAAUAUUAAUAGAAAUUAUUAUAUUCUAAAUAAAUUGAUUAUUUUAGUUUUUCUUAAUACAAAUUUUUUUCUAAAUUGGAUCCAUUCAUUAAUGUUACAUUUCCAUUCAAAGUCUAUACAAUAUUUUUUUGAAUUUCUUUUCGAAUAAAGAGUGAACUUAAAAAAUACGAGGAUUCAAAUACUAUAUUAGUGUAAUCGUAUUCUUCCUAAUAAAUUAUAGGAAAAAUUGAAAUAAAUCUAACAAUUUAAUAUGAAUUCAUGUUGGUACGAAAGCUGUAAUUUUAUUUUGUUGAUAGAUUGUUUAAUUUGAAUUUUUUUAGGAUAUAUUGGUAUUUAUAUUUUAUAUUCAAUUUAAGAAAUAAAUUAUAUUUUAAUGCUUUAUUAAGAAAAAAAUAUGUAAAAAGAAACUAUGUUGAAUACUACUUCAUUUGGGUUAUACAACUAUCUAUAAUUUAUAUUUUUCUUAAAAUUAAUAUGACAUGAGGAAAUAACUAAGCUACGACCGCUUGAAAAGGACAUGAAAGAUUAAUGUAUGUAAUAAGUAAUUUAAUUUGUUGAUUAUUGGUGAAUCAAUAUUCUUGUUCGCAAAAGAAAUUGGAUAAAAAAUUUCACCAUCAAAUUGAUUCUAAAAGAUAGGAUAUACAAAAGCAAGAGAAAUCAUAAUAUGGUUGUUUGAAAGCAUCUCUUUCUUAUGGACAAAUUUGGAGAUGUCACCAUAAAUCAAUUGAAAACCCAGAAUUUAAUGUUUUUGUAAAGACAUCAUUGUUAGCUUUUGAUACAUUAAAAUAUGGUUGUUUGAAAGCAUCUCUUUCUUAUUUGAUUUGUGAAACUAUUGCUUGUUUACAUUUUCCAAAAUGUAUAAGUUCGUAGUGGAAAUAUUUAGCACGAUGAAUUUUGGAAACAUUUUUUGUUGCUUAAAAAUCCAUUGCUUUGCAGGAAAACCGAGUGUCAUCAAUAAAAACAGUUAAUCAAUUUUGAGCAAAAAAAGAUAUUAAGUCCAAAACCAAAAUAGUCUCAAGUGUCCAAACAGUCCAAAUUUUGCAAAAUACUUUAAUUCCAAAUUUAAAUAAAUCAAAUAUACUAAAAUAUUGUAAUCGAGCUCCUGUCACACCGAUCCGCCUAAGUCUGAGGGUUACCUGAAAGUGACAUAACAACAGAGAGUGAGUUUUUGAAACUUUGUGUGUAACUUAUUAAAUCAAUACCACAGAUUACAUUCAGACAAAACUCUUAACAGAGCAGAUACAAAACAUAUAUCACAUACAGAAACAUAAUCAAAUGCAAAUUUACAAUCUUACCCUCAUCCGCUACACACCAUAUGGAGUAUUAAAUACCCAUCCACCCCUACACACCACUUAGUGCUGGUAUGACACUUUUCGGAAUAUUUGUAGUUUAGCUGCUGGAUCAUUAAACGAUUUAUCGCCGUUUAUAGAUAUAUGUGUGGCUGAGCUACCAAAUACGACUAGUUAUUAUACUGCCCACACUUCCUCUAUAUACAUAAAUCCCAUCCCAAAUGCACAUACAAAAAUAUAAAAUGCUAGAUAUGUAUAUGUCAUACAUGCUCAAUAUCCAACUUAAGUCAUGCUUAUUAGAUAACAAGUCAUACAUAACAAUUUUCAAUUUGUACACAACAUAUUGCAGAUUUUACUUAUCUUAUAUCAUUUCAAAUAUGGUAUUUUUAUUUAAGUUUACAUUAACAGAUGGUUAAAAUUUGUGUUUUACAACUUAUUCUAUAACAUACCGACCUUACAAAAGGCCUACGAUCGAUCCAAAUGAUGUUUACGACCCUAGGAAAAAAUUCAAAAUUUUGGGCCCACACAGCCUAACACACGGUCUCACACACGCCUAUGUGGCCCACACGGCCUAGCACACGACCAUGUGACGUUGAUAAUACUAAUUUUUGGCUUUCGCUGUUCGCUGAUUUUUGGGUUUUUUGUUACACACCUGGUUCGAUUUUGAUGUGGAUGCAAACAUGAAACUUCCGAAACCUAAAUACGAAUUUAAGACGAUCAAUACUAGUAAUGAAACACAAAAUUAAUCAAGAAUCGAACAUAACCAACUCAUUUAUCACUACCAAAAACACAUUCGUAUGCUUACCGUUAGAGGAACAACAACUACACAAAACUCAGGUUGCUGGAGGCACACCCAACUGCUCUCGAUCUUCCCUUAAAACAUAUCAGAUUAAUUAGCUAACAUAUAACACAGAUUUAACAACACAACUUUGGAACUCCAAAACCCUUAAACCAAAAGAACACUCUCAACAAGAAAAUAGAGAAAGAACAAAGAACCCUUACCUACCAAGAUUGAAUCCAACCAAGCCAAAAGAAGAAAUAAGAUAGAAUCAAAUAAGUAGCAAUCCAAAACCGAAUGAUUAGAGGACGAAGAUUAAAGAAAGGGAGAAAAAUAGAGGAUUAGAUUUUGCAAUUCUUUUACCGGAAGAAACAUAAAAUAAUGAAUGGGGGAAAAAUAGGAAAAAGUGGGAAACAAGGGAUUAGGGGGGAUUUGGGAAAAGGAAAUAAAAUAAGAUAAAAAUAAAAAAUAUAUAUAUAUAAAAACCAAUUUUAAAGUAACUCCAUAUUCUGAUAACAUAUCAGAUUUUGCCAGAAUUUCCAUAGUUAUGAUAUUUCUUCAGAUUAGGUAUCAACAAAAGUUUUAGUCCAACCGAUACUCAUUUUUAACUUUGUCAUUCAAUGUAAUUACAUUUAUCACCGUCAAAACAUUUGACAUGGAUUUAUAUUUUACACAAACAUAAUAUUCUUCUCGUUUUGUUCAUUAUUAUAUUGUUUCUUAAUAUGACAUUAAAUUAUCUUUUAAAUUUAUAUUCGAAUCAAUAUGAUAGAUACCUUUACUUAGUAUGAAAAUAAUUUGAAUUUUUUUCCUAAUAACACAUUACGUAUAACAAAUAAAGCUUUCUCAAUAUUUAUUUCUUAAUAUUAAUAGAAAUUAUUAUAUUCUAAAUAAAUUGAUUAUUUUAGUUUUUCUCAAUAUAUUUUUUUCACAUUUUAAGUCUAUACAAUAUUUUUUUUUUGAAUUUCUCCUCAAAUUGAGAGUAAACCUAAAGAAACAUGAGGAUUCAAAUACUACAUUAAUCAUAAUCAUAUUCUUCCUAAUAAAUUAUAGGAAGACUGAAAUAUAUAUAAUACGAAUGUUGGUACGAAAGCUAUAAUUUUAUUUUGUCAAUAGUAUGGUUUAAUUUGAAAUUUUUAGAUUUUACUGGUAUUUAUAUUUUAUAUUCAAAUUAAGAAAUAAAUGAUAUUUUAAUGCUUUAUUAAGAAAAAAAUGUAAAAAGAAACUUUGCUGAAUACUGCUUUAUUUGGGCUAUACAACUAUCUAUAAUUUAUAUUUGUCUUAGAAUUAAUAUGACAUGAGGAAAUAACUAAACUACGAUUGGUUGAAAAGGACAUGAAAGAUUAAUGUAUGUAAGAAGUAAGUAAUUUAAUUUGUUGAUUAUUGGUGAAUCAGUAUUGUUUUUUGGAAAAGAAAUUGGAUAAAAAAACUCAUGAUCAAACUGAUUCUAAAAGAUAAGAUAUUCAAAUGCAAAAGAAAUCAUAAUAUUCCCAGAUUAAUUUGCCUUCAAAAGCGCUCUUUUACUAUAAAGUACAAAGUCUCUGAUCAAUUCAACCCUAUAAAUAUGGAUUUUAUUUAACCUUCACUUUGCACAAUAAAAUAUAACGAAAAAAAACACAAGUAAAAAUAAACUAGCUAGAGACAAUAUUGUGUGUUGUAGUCAUGGUUGCGAAGAAAAUGAUGGCAAUAAGCUUGAUGGUGUUGAUGAUGAUGGCUAUGGUAGUAACUGAAGUGCGAUCUAGUGAAAAUUUAGAUGUCGAGCGUGGUGUAAAAGAAGGGAUAGGCUCCUGCGCUAAAGAGUGUGCACUUAAAUGCCUUCCUCAAAUCAAUCCUCGACGUAUUGUAAUUUGCACGGCUCUUUGCAUAAUAGCAUGCAAACUGAAUCCCCACCUGCCAUCUUCAAUUGUACCACUGACUGUGCAAAUUCCAUAAUCAAAACCUACGACCCCACUGGUAUAUAUAUUAUUUUGUAUAAAUACAAUAAAAUCUCCAAUAUAACAUUUUAAUGGCUUUUCAAUUGUUUUUUUUUAUUGCAGAGGCAAGAAAAAUAGAUAGCAUCGUCGGUUUUGUGUUUAUUAAUGUUAUUUACUCUCGGCUCAUUUUAGGAUUUAAAUGGUUAAAAAUAUAUAUUAAGUAUUACUAUUUUGCUUUUGUAACUAUCAAGCAUUUUGAAUAAAAAAAUAUUUUCAUUUUAAGCUUUUAGUAUAUUUGUUUCAUAUCUUGUGGGAUUAAUUGUAUCUCUUAGUUUUCUCUUAAUCAUUUUUCUUAACUCGGCUAAAGCUAAAUAAUUUGAACAACAAAAUUGUUGAGUAAUUGAAGAAAAAAAAUUAAGUUUAAGGUUAUUCGAGGGAAAAUGAAAAUUUACUCAUUUUUUACGCUAAUAUAAAUCAUUGAAGCUAUUACAAACUCCUUGACGUAAGGAGUUUGAGUGGACUUAAAGUGUGUAAUAUCCCCUUCUGAGUAUAUAGUUAAUUUAGGAUUGGGGUUUAUAGGUAGUUUCUUAAAUUUUUUUAAAAAAAAAGUCCUAAAAAAAGAGAAAAUUUUAUGCUAUUUGAAAAUACUUAUGAUAUUAAUAAUUAAAAUCUUUAAAAUUGACCAUGAUGCUGCACUCGAGAAGAUCAAUAAAUUAAAAUUAGAUUUGAUAACUCUCCUAUAAGCAAGUGGGUAGGAAGAUUCCAACCAAUAAAUUUAUGUUUUGUCAGAAUUUUCAUAAUUAUGAUAUUUCUCCGAAUUAGAUUCCAACCCAUACACAUUUUUAACUUCGUCAUAACUGCAUUUAUCACCAUCGAAACAUUUGACAUGGGGUUAUAUUUUAC
rnacentral:lncRNA from 1 species